rnacentral:rRNA from 1 species
AGCGAACGCUGGCGGCAGGCCUAACACAUGCAAGUCGAACGAAGUCUUCGGACUUAGAGGCGGACGGGUGAGUAACACGUGGGAACGUACCUUUUGGUUCGGAACAACUCAGGGACACUUGAGGUAAUACCGGAUGAGCCCUUAGGGGGAAAGAUUUAUCGCCGAAAGAGCGGCCCGCGUUAGAUUAGCUAGUUGGUGAGGUAAAGGCUCACCAAGGGUACGAUCUAUAGCUGGCCUGAGAGGAUAAUCAGCCACACUGGGACUGAGACACGGCCCAGACUCCUACGGGAGGCAGCAGCGGGGAAUCUUGCGCAAUGGGCGAAAGCCUGACGCGGCCAUGCCGCGUGAAUGAUGAAGGUCUUAGGAUUGUAAAAUUCUUUUACCAGGGACGAUAAUGACGGUACCUGGAGAAAAAGCCCCGGCUAACUUCGUGCCAGCAGCCGCCGUAAGAC